UAAAUAAUGAUUCUUAAUGCUUAUAAAAAAAAUAAAUAAUGAUUCUUAAUUUUAGAAUGAAUUGUUUACAACUUCUUAAGCGCUGAAAUCUUUUUAUCAGUGUGACGAGAGGACGAGCUUUCUAAAUUAUAAAGUGAUCAAAUCUCGUGUUACAUUGCAAAGGGGAGAAACAUGGCUGAAUCAGUGAAGUUUAUUUAUGUUAUGAUUAUUUUUCUUUCCAUAUUUCUUGUCGCAAAUGCGAACAAAUGGGCUGAAUUUUUGCAUAUUUAUAGAUGUUUUACUGCUGUCGAUUGUCCACUAGAUAUAUGUAUCGCUGGUAAGAUACCGGACUGUAAGUUCAACCUUUGUAAAUGUGUUACAGCGCCGGUGGUGGAACCAGAAGUUUAGUGUUAAAUCCCAUGAGUACACAAAUUAAUAAUACUCUUGUUAUUUAGUUAUAUUUUGUUGGCACCCAAUAAUUUGAUUUAUUUUCUUCUUUUUAUUUA